UUAUUCUGGCUUAAAAUUUUAAUUUAUGAGCAAAUUAUAUGCUAAGUUUAUUGUUUUUGGAGUUUGUUAUAGAGUAAUAAAUUAUUGAAUUUAAUGUUAAUUUAUGCAAUAUAGAGAAUUAAAUAUAAAAGAAAUUUUGAUUUAGGGAUUCAUAAAAGUAUUGAUAAAAUUUGUGCCAGCAAUUGCGGUUACACAGAUAAUGCGAUUAAAUUUUUUCAGUGAGUAAUAUAUUUGUUUAUUGAUUAUUUAAAUUUAAAUUUAUUAGGUGAAAUUAGUAAGUUUAAUUUAAAUUGUUUAAAUAAGUAAUAAGGUUAUGAGGUUUUUGUAUUAAACUAGGAUUAGAUACCCUAUUAUUGAAAAUGCAAAUUAUUAUGCUUGAGUAGUAGUAGUUAUGUUCUUGAAAUUCAAAGAAUCUGGCGGUAUUUUAGUCUAUUCAGAGGAACCUGUCCUAUAAUUGAUAAUCCACGAUUAAUUGUACUUGUUUUUAGUUUGUAUAUCGUCGUAGGUUGAAUGUUUUAGAAGAAAAUUGAACAUUCAAGAUUUAUAAUAAUAAAGUAAAUCAGAUCAAGAUACAGCUUAUAGAUAAGAAGAGAUGGGUUACAAUAAAUUUAUUUAGAUGGUUAUUAUAUUUAACAGUAUUUUAUAAAGUGGAUUUGAUAGUAAUAAAGUUAAGUUAAAUUUUAUGAUUUUAGCUCUAAAAUAUGUACAUAUCGCCCGUCGCUCCUUCUUUAAAGAUGGAUAAGUCGUAACAUAGUAGGUGUACUGGAAAGUGUACCUAGAAUGU
rnacentral:ncRNA from 1 species